rnacentral:rRNA from 3 species
AGAGUUUGAUCCUGGCUCAGGACGAACGCUGGCGGCGUGCCUAAUACAUGCAAGUCGAGCGAGCGGAACUAACAGAUUUACUUCGGUAAUGACGUUAGGAAAGCGAGCGGCGGAUGGGUGAGUAACACGUGGGGAACCUGCCCCAUAGUCUGGGAUACCACUUGGAAACAGGUGCUAAUACCGGAUAAGAAAGCAGAUCGCAUGAUCAGCUUUUAAAAGGCGGCGUAAGCUGUCGCUAUGGGAUGGCCCCGCGGUGCAUUAGCUAGUUGGUAAGGUAAAGGCUUACCAAGGCGAUGAUGCAUAGCCGAGUUGAGAGACUGAUCGGCCACAUUGGGACUGAGACACGGCCCAAACUCCUACGGGAGGCAGCAGUAGGGAAUCUUCCACAAUGGACGCAAGUCUGAUGGAGCAACGCCGCGUGAGUGAAGAAGGUUUUCGGAUCGUAAAGCUCUGUUGUUGGUGAAGAAGGAUAGAGGUAGUAACUGGCCUUUAUUUGACGGUAAUCAACCAGAAAGUCACGGCUAACUACGUGCCAGCAGCCGCGGUAAUACGUAGGUGGCAAGCGUUGUCCGGAUUUAUUGGGCGUAAAGCGAGCGCAGGCGGAAGAAUAAGUCUGAUGUGAAAGCCCUCGGCUUAACCGAGGAACUGCAUCGGAAACUGUUUUUCUUGAGUGCAGAAGAGGAGAGUGGAACUCCAUGUGUAGCGGUGGAAUGCGUAGAUAUAUGGAAGAACACCAGUGGCGAAGGCGGCUCUCUGGUCUGCAACUGACGCUGAGGCUCGAAAGCAUGGGUAGUGAACAGGAUUAGAUACCCUGGUAGUCCAUGCCGUAAACGAUGAGUGCUAAGUGUUGGGAGGUUUCCGCCUCUCAGUGCUGCAGCUAACGCAUUAAGCACUCCGCCUGGGGAGUACGACCGCAAGGUUGAAACUCAAAGGAAUUGACGGGGGCCCGCACAAGCGGUGGAGCAUGUGGUUUAAUUCGAAGCAACGCGAAGAACCUUACCAGGUCUUGACAUCUAGUGCCAUUUGUAGAGAUACAAAGUUCCCUUCGGGGACGCUAAGACAGGUGGUGCAUGGCUGUCGUCAGCUCGUGUCGUGAGAUGUUGGGUUAAGUCCCGCAACGAGCGCAACCCUUGUUAUUAGUUGCCAGCAUUAAGUUGGGCACUCUAAUGAGACUGCCGGUGACAAACCGGAGGAAGGUGGGGAUGACGUCAAGUCAUCAUGCCCCUUAUGACCUGGGCUACACACGUGCUACAAUGGGCAGUACAACGAGAAGCGAGCCUGCGAAGGCAAGCGAAUCUCUGAAAGCUGUUCUCAGUUCGGACUGCAGUCUGCAACUCGACUGCACGAAGCUGGAAUCGCUAGUAAUCGCGGAUCAGCACGCCGCGGUGAAUACGUUCCCGGGCCUUGUACACACCGCCCGUCACACCAUGGGAGUCUGCAAUGCCCAAAGCCGGUGGCCUAACCUUCGGGAAGGAGCCGUCUAAGGCAGGGCAGAUGACUGGGGUGAAGUCGUAACAAGGUAGCCGUAGGAGAACCUGCGGCUG